rnacentral:rRNA from 1 species
GACCUUCGGGGUCAGCGGCGGACGGGUGAGUAACACGUGGGUAAUCUGCCCAACUGACCGGAAUAACGCCUGGAAACGGGUGCUAAUGCCGGAUAGGCAUCGAGCAGGCAUCUGCUCGCUGGGAAAGGUGCAAAUGCACCGCAGAUGGAGGAGCCCGCGGCGCAUUAGCUGGUUGGUGGGGUAACGGCUCACCAAGGCGACGAUGCGUAGCCGACCUGAGAGGGUGGACGGCCACACUGGGACUGAGACACGGCCCAG